rnacentral:tRNA from 1 species
GGUGAGAUGGCCGAGUGGUUAUGGCGCUGCGUUCAGGACAUCUGAACAAAUUUCGCAGUGGAGCAAUCCGCGUGGGUUCGAGUCCCACUCUCAUCA